rnacentral:lncRNA from 1 species
CAAAGAAAUAAGAGGAUAUUCUGUGAACCCAGGAAAUUCUAUUAUGUACAAAUUUUCUUACAAGAGAGUAACAACAUUGAUGUCUGUCUUUUGCAAGCUCCUUUUUGUUUUCUUUUGUGUAAUGUUUUAUUGAUGCUUCUUUUUCUUUUAUUACUUCUACUACUUCCAAGCUAGGUUGAAACAGCUAAGUGGCACAGUAGAUAAGAGUGCUAGACCUGAAGUCAGGGAGAUCCUCUUCCUAAGCUCAAAUCUGGCCUCAGAUACUUACUGGCUGUGUGUCUCUUAUCCCUGUUUGCCUCAGUUCCUCAACUAUAAAAAAAUAGCUGAAGAAGGAAUGGCAAACUACUCCAGUAUCUCUGCCAAGAAAAUCCCAAAUGGUCAUGAAGAGUCAGAUAUGACUAAAAUGACUGAACAACAAAUUACUGCCCACCAAUCAUGUCUUCUCUUCCUCUCCCAAAGAGCCCUACUUUGAAACAAAUAAAUAUAUACAAGUAAAACAUGUCUACACAUUGGAAAACAACAUCUCAUUCUGUAUCUCUAGUUCCUCAGCUAUCUGUUAUCUAUCAAUUUCAGUCUUCUAAAAUUAUAAUUGGCCAAUGUAUUGAUCAGAGUUCUGAAGCCUUUCUAAAUUGCAUUCCUUUAUAGUAUCAGUGUAAGUCUAAUUAUUCUCCUAGUUCUGCUUAUUUCACUCUGUAUCAGUUCAUACAAGUCUUACCAAAGUUCUCUGAAUCCUUCACACUUAUUCCUUGUUCCCUAUGAUGCAAUAAUACUUCAUUACAUUCUUGUAUUACAAUUUGCUUAGUUCUCAAGUUGAUGGGUACUCAUCCUUUAUAAGAAGUACUCUCUCCAUGACCUGGAUUCCAAGAGGCACUCCAGGAAUGAGGAUCAUUUGUACCAAGGCAUUUUUAUGCCUUUGAUUAUGGUGGAUAGCAAGUGGAUCUGUUUGGUCAUCUCUAUAGAGAGAGUGCAUGAAGGAGGAGAAUCAUGUCCAAAAAGCCUGGAAAGAUGGUGUUCUGGACUCGCUCCCCCGUACCCCUCCUUCAAAGGCAGUGGAAACUCCCGUCCCAGAAGACGACAAAAUGACUUUCCAUGGCCUGAAUAAUGUGUUGAGGCGGUUUUGAGCAACAGCCCCGCCCCCUACCCCAGAAAGUUCUGUUUUGUUUGGAUGGGGAAGGAAGUCAGGACAUUUAAAGAAAUAAAAUGAAGUUUGGAGGUUUUUUGACA